CCUGGUAGCUCAGUUGGUAAAGAAUCUGCCUGCAAUGCAGGAGACCCAGGUUCAAUUCCUGGGUCAGGA
rnacentral:tRNA from 1 species